CUCAAAUCAGGUAGGACUACCCACUGAACUUAAGCAUAUCAAUAAGUGGAGGAAAAGAAACUAACAAGGAUUCCCCUAGUAACGGCGAGUGAAGCGGGAAGAGCUCAAAUUUAAAAUCUGGCAGUCUACGAUUGUCCGAAUUGUAAUCUCGAGAAGUGUUUUCCGCGUUGGCCUGUGCACAAGUCCCUUGGAACAGGGCGUCAUAGAGGGUGAGAAUCCCGUCCUUGGCACAGAUACCCAAUGCUUUGUGAUACACUCUCAAUGAGUCGAGUUGUUUGGGAAUGCAGCUCAAAAUGGGAGGUAAAUUCCUUCUAAAGCUAAAUACUGGCGAGAGACCGAUAGCGAACAAGUACCGUGAGGGAAAGAUGAAAAGCACUUUGGAAAGAGAGUCAAACAGUACGUGAAAUUGUUGAAAGGGAAACGAUUGAAGUCAGUCGUGCCUGCCUAGAUUCAGCCUUCUGGUGUAUUUCUAGGUCGGCAGGUCAGCAUCAGUUUGGGAGGGUUAACAAGGGGAUUAGGAAUGUAGCAACCUCGGUUGUGUUAUAGCCUAGUUUCGUAUUGAUCUUGCUGGACUGAGGAACGCAGUGCGCCCGCAAGGGUAGGUCUUCGGACACUUUCGCACUUAGGAUGCUGGCAUAAUGGCUUUAAACGACCCGUCUUGAAACACGGACCAAGGAGUC
rnacentral:rRNA from 1 species